rnacentral:pre_miRNA from 1 species
GACGCCGCCGCCUCUAGUUCGCUUGGUGCAGGUCGGGGCCGCCCGGAUCCGCCCACGGACGGGCCGGAUCCCGCCUUGCACCAACUGAAUCGGAGCCGGAGGGCGAC